ACGGGAGGCAGCAGUGGGGAAUAUUGGGCAAUGGACGGAAGUCUGACCCAGCGACGCCGCGUGAGGGAAGAAGGUCUUCGGAUUGUAAACCUUAGUCAACAGGGACGAAGCAAGUGACGGUACCUGUGGAGGAAGCCACGGCUAACUACGUGCCAGCAGCCGCGGUAAUACGUAGGUGGCGAGCGUUAUCCGGAAUUACUGGGUGUAAAGGGUGUGUAGGCGGGAAGGCAAGUCGGAUGUGAAAACUAUGGGCUCAACCCAUAAAGUGCGACCGAAACUGUUUUUCUUGAGGAUCGGAGAGGUAAUGAGAAUUCCCGGUGUAGCGGUGAAAUGCGCAGAGAUCGGGAGGAAUACCGGUGGCGAAGGCGAAUUACUGGACGAUAACUGACGCUGAGACACGAAAGCGUGGGGAGCAAACAGGAUUAGAUACCCUGGUA
rnacentral:rRNA from 1 species